rnacentral:rRNA from 1 species
UCGCCCUUAGAGUUUGAUCCUGCUCAGGACGAACGCUGGCGGCGCGCCUAAUGAAUGCGAGUCGAACGAGAAGCAGACAGUUGAUCUCUUCGGAGUGAUUCAGUCUGUGGAAAGUGGCGAACGGGUGAGUAACACGUGGGUAACCUACCUCCGAGACGGGGACAACACAGGGAAACUUGUGCUAAUACCCGAUGGUCUACCGGUGCACAUGUACCGGAGAGUAAAUGGUCAGCCGCUCGGAGAUGGGCCCGCGGCCCAUUAGCUAGUUGGUGAGGUAACGGCUCACCAAGGCGACUAUGGGUAGCCGGUCUGAGAGGAUGGUCGGCCACACUGGGACUGAGACAUGGUCCAGACUCCUACGGGAGUUAGCAUCAGGGAAUCUUGCUCAAUGAGCGCAAGCUUGAAGCAGCGACGCCGCGUGUGGGAUGAAGGCCUUCGGGUCGUAAACCACUGUCAGGAGGGACGAAGAUCUGACGGUACCUCCAGAGGAAGCCCCGGCUAACUACGUGCCAGCAGCCGCGGUAAAACGUAGGGGGCCAGCGUUGUCCGGAAUUACUGGGCGUAAAGAGCGCGUAGGCGGUUUGGUUAGCGGAGGGUGCAAUCCAGAGGCUCAACCUCUGAACUGCUCUCCGAACUGCCAGACUUGAGUACGGGAGAGGGUAGUGGAAUUCCUGGUGUAGCGGUGGAAUGCGUAAAUAUCACGAGGAACACCCGUGGCGAAGGCUGCUACCUGGAACGUUACUGACGCUAAGGCGCGAA